rnacentral:lncRNA from 1 species
UUUCAAGGAAACUCUUCUAAAAUGUUAUUUUUCCUUGGAUCAAAUCUAAGGAGAUAAAUACUUUAGACGUCUUACUCAUCAACUUACAUUCUUGAAUUCUUUGAAACCUUUUGCAAAGUACUCAGACUUGUGUUUAUUCAAAAUAAACGAUAGUCCAACAGAGAGUGAUAUUCGGUACAAAUGAGUAGUAUUAUGUUGUAGACAAGUACCGCUAACAUCUAAGUGAAUUAACCUCAACAACUUUGUGAUUCUUUAUUCUUUCCAAAAGAAUAAAUAUUCGAACAUUUCGCCUCUAUAUAGUUUUAACAAGAAAGCAUUGGAUCCGGAUCUAAAGAUCCAAAGCAUCCAUUUAUGACCAACUUUUAAUUUAUGUUUUAAGGGUGUCACAACGCAAUGAGAUUAGUCACUAUCUUGCAACCUUUUGGGUUUUAAGCAUCGUUAUAUUCUAAACAGUUAACACUACCACAUCAUCUCUACUAUAGAGACAAUCAAUUAGAUUACAAUAAUCCAAUCAUUCAUUAAUAAAGAAUAACGUUUUGUCAAACAAAACAUUCAUCCAUCUCUUAUAGUGACAGAAUUAAGUUUCUUAUUCAAAUUGGAAUGUAAAGACAAUCUUUGGUUUUCCAAUUUCAUUGGUAGUUCAUAUGAGGAAUUAAGUAUUAUCUGCUUUCGCAAAGAUCUAAAUUUUAUUCACAUUCUGAAUGUGAAGUACUUUCUCUUCUCUCAUUAAUCUUCUACUUCUUAUUAGCCACACUUUUACAACUGUUGUAAAACACAGUUACUAAUACAGAAUCAAGCAUUCAAGUAGAAGAACCAACUAUUUUGAACUUAUUCAAGAACAAUUUACAACACCUUCGAAAGGUGUGUUCUUGACACUUGCAAGACAUUUCUUGCAAAUACCCCUUCCAAUGUCCAUCCUUUCAUAAAGAAAGUUUGUUCCAUUGGAGUUAUUUCGCUUUCUUCAUUUGACUUCUCCUUUGACUACAAUAGUCAUGGUCCCUAAACUCCCACUAUCUCUCUUGAAACUUAUUUCAAUUGUGUUUAUACACAUCAAACGAUUUGGAGAGUGUGCAGUUAAUGUUCACUGUAUAGUUUACAAUAAACUUAGUGAACCAUUUGGAUAGGGACACAAAGGUGAACUCCUUGCCUAGUUUCCGUCUCUUGAAGUGGUUUAACACUUCAACACUCAAUGAUUCAAAAUCAUCAUAAGUCCAUGUUGAUGGACUAUUUUUGUCAAUCAACCAUUAUGUUCUAAACAUAAUUACAAACUUUCAAGAAUUGUUCAAGGCAACUCUCAUUUCUUCAUACAAAAAUUUGUAAGUGAAGAAUCAUGGCACAUAAAGUGUCCAUGCCCUUGUGCUUACUUCUCAAGUUCCUUGUUCAUUUAACAAAGAAACAAGCACUAGUGUUUGCGUUAACUAAGGGUUGUUCAAAGCAACUCUUAUUUCUUCAAUCAACGAUUUGUAAGUGAAGAAUUGUGACACUAAAAGUGUUGUCCUCUUUAUGAUAGACUUAUCUAACAUGUUCUUCCAAUGAUACAUUAUCAAUCGGAAGAUUGUGAGAAUGAGACUACUUAUGUACAUAUACAAUCCAUUCAAGAUGUUGAUGCACAAAACCGGAGGUCUUGGAACAACGUAAAUCCGACCGUGAACCUGCAAGUAAUGUAAAUAACACAAGAUGUAUCGUGGUUCACCCCAAGGUUUAGGCUACGUCCACACUGAUUGUAUUGUAUUUUUCUGAGAAGUGAAGGAGAGAGAGAGCUCUGAGAGUGAGAGCGUUGAGAGGGUCAAGAGCCUUAGGAAUUGGCCUCCCCUAAUUAUGAGGGUGAGGGGUCCUUUUAUAGAAUAAGGACUCCUCACUUAUUACAUAUUUACCCCUUCCUUUAUUACAUAAUUACAUUUAAGUCCCCAUAGUAUUUAGACGAGGUCUAAAUACGAGGCCCUAAAUAUGGUAUAAACAGUAGUCCCCCAAGUCUUCAGUUAAGAGAGUCUUUUGGCUGGAGACUUGAAAUUCAGUCCAUGUGUAGGCCGAAGUAACUAGAUGUUGUCUUGAGCUGAUGUUCGAUAUGAGGCAGUGCUCAAUCUAAAAUGAUGUUCCACUAGAAGUAUCACACAUUGCGAGACUGCUCGGCUCGUGGCUUAUGUUGCCUUGGUUGGCUCGGCUUGUGGCGUUUGAAGGUGAGGGAGUCCCUUUUAUAGAAUAAGGGCUCGCUCCUCAAUACAUGAAUGAUGGGUUAGAGUUGAUGCUCGUGGCGAGGCGGUUGCUCAGUAGGCGACGAUGCUCUCUAAUGAUGGUGAGGGAGUCCCUUUUAUAGAAUAAGGGCUCGCUCCUCAGUACAUGAAUAAUGUGCUAG